GUAGUGGUGCUUCAGUGGUAGAAUUUUCGCCUUCCAUGCAGGAGACCCAGGUUUGAUUCCUAGCCAAUGCA
rfam:Loxodonta africana unplaced genomic scaffold scaffold_11, whole genome shotgun sequence.